CUUAAGACCGUUAUAGUUACGGCCGCCGUUUACUGGGGCUUCGGUUCAUAGCUUCGCCCGAAGGCUUACCACUCCCCUUAACCUUCCAGCACCGGGCAGGCGUCAGCCCGUAUACUUCGCCUUGCGGGUUCGCACAGACCUGUGUUUUUGCUAGACAGCCGCUUGGGCCUUUUCACUGCGGGCCCCUCGGGCUAUUCACCCUACCGAGGUACCCCUUCUCCCGAAGUUACGGGGUCAUUUUGCCGAGUUCCUUAACGAGAGUUCUUCCGCGCGCCUUAGAAUUCUCUCCUCGCCUACCUGUGUCGGUU
rnacentral:rRNA from 1 species